CCCUUAGAUGUCCUGGGCCGCACGCGCGCUACACUGAUGCAUUCAACGAGUUUUACCUUGGCCGAGAGGCCUGGGCAAUCUUUUAAACCUGCAUCGUGAUAGGGAUAGAUUAUUGCAAUUUUUAAUCUUGAACGAGGAAUUCCUAGUAAACGCAAAUCAUCAAUUUGCAUUGAUUACGUCCCUGCCCUUUGUACACACCGCCCGUCGCACCUACCGAUUGAAUGGUCCGGUGAAGCCUCGGGAUUGUGGCCAGUUCACUUUAUUGGGAGUUGGCUGUGAGAACUUGUCUAAACCUUAUCAUUUAGAGGAAGGUGAAGUCGUANCA
rnacentral:rRNA from 1 species